CGUAAUCGUUAAUAAUACGAGUAAAAGGAAGUCGAAUGUAUUUAAUUAUAGCCACGGCAAUAUUCGAUAUAAAAAUUCAAAGUAUGCGCCAUAGAGGGUGUAGGAUUACGAAUAUAAUAAAAUCGAUAGCAAGAUGGCGCGUCUUAACUCGGUAUUUUCAACCAUGUCGUCUUUCUCUGUCUCUUUCCCUCUAAUUAUCACCUGCAUCCCGCCUUUGGAUCAGCUGUUCGUCUACCGCCAUGGCGCACGCGAUGUCAAAACGUCGGAAACGUUUUCCUUUUUCGCGAGUUUUCCCGGUCGAAAGGAUAUUCUCGCGAGUAUCGACAAUGUAAAUUACAAAUGUUACUACGUCGUAUGUCUCGUGUAUUAUGUAUUCGCAAAAAGCGUUGUUACAUUAUUCGUUGAUGUGAUAUUUUUCGUUUGUGAUAUCGUUGGAGUGUUGAACCGUUUGUAGAUUUUUGUGAUAGUGUAAGGGUUCAAUGAUGUGAGUGGUCGCACACACCGGAGAACAUCAAAUGUCAAACAUCACAAUGGGGUGAAUAAGGACACUGACGAAGGACGAUCUAGCAGAUUGCCAGAGGGUUUAAUUAAGAGGGCGUGUUGUUGGUGACUCGUCGUUGAUCAAUAGCUAAAGGGGUGCUACCAGUUACCCCAUAGGCUAGGAAUAUCUUCCUCGUCUCGACGCUUCUGUCUUUUCCCCUUCACGUCCGCGUUAUAUUCGGUUCUGUCUCUCAAUCUAUGUAACCCUUCUCUCUUCUCUCUCUCUCUCUCUCUAUCUCUCUCUGUCACUUUACCUUAUAUCUUUCUAUCUUUCUCUUUCGCCUCUCUUCGAAACGAGCUUCGAUUGCUGAGGCUGGACACUAAUACCCGACAGGCUCUUUGAUGUUGCCAGACUAUCAAGAGAGCCGUUGUCAUCGCGUUGUCAUGGAUACCUUUCGCUACUUCGCGUCUACUAUCUAGCUGAGAGGGAAGCUCUCUUGGCCUCCUUUCCCAUUUAGAAAUUAAGCGAUCUACCUUUCCAAUGGGCCCACGUAGUGUUGGCAGAUUACAGUAACGACAUACUUAUCGAUGACGCGUAUUAUGAAAUUAACUCGGUCUUUUCCUCCGUAACACUUCUUCGCUAUUCCAUCGAAUGUAUUCCCGUUCACUCGGAACGAUUAAGCGCACUUUGACUCGCUCGAAAUGAGAUCUUUGAAGGAACGAACGAACCAACGAACGAGAACGAUCCUCCUUGUCCUCUUGUCGUUGGAUUAUUGGAAUCGAGAGGGAAACAUCGUUGAAUUCUCGAGACGUAUAAUUUAAACUUUUACGUGCUACUCGUCCUCCUCGUCUUCUUUAUUAAGUAGUCUCGAGAUAAUUGAAAAGAAGUCAUUUCAAAUCGACAAUCGGAUAUUUGUCGUUCGAACGACAUAGAUCGACAGACUGCUUGACACAAAUUAGCUCGUUCGAGGAGAAUGUUGAUUUAGCGACCGGCAAUCGCUCGAUGUAUCUAUCUUUACCAACGUCGUAUGAACGCUGCUUGAAACGUAUGUAUGGUAUAAGCGCUCGUACAGCUCUCGUUCGAGUUACGUCGAUAUUUGUUCAACGUUUGACGAUACGUUCCCGUCUCUUCCACCAUCGUUUAAUAUUCGACCCUCGUUUGGUCCCUUUCGUUUGCCGACAUGAGAACAGUACACAAGAUUUUUCGAGGCGUAUAAUUUUCUUACCAAAUAAAUCCGACAUCGGUCCUCGUAUUUUUUCCUAUUAGAUUUUUUCGCAUCGCUAAAUCCUUUCCAAGAUUUUUCUUACAACGCAUUGAGAAGAACAUUUGUUGGGGUUUAUUAAGAAAAUAUUAAAUAAAUAAAUAAAAAGAAAUAAAAAAGAAAAAGGAAGGGAAGAGAGAGAGAGAGA